rnacentral:rRNA from 1 species
CUCGUAGUUGAACGUUCGGGUUCCGCGGGACGGGGCCGCCCCGCGAGGGGACGGCGCCGCCCCGGGGCUCGUGAUAUCUCAUCUCGCCGCCCGUCGCGAGGCGGACGGAGGGAUGGAUGAGGUUACCUGGAAAAAAUCGGGGCGAUCUAGGCGGGCGAACCUCGCCAACGAACGAUCGGACAUGGGAUAACGGAAGAGGGCGUCGGCUCGACUUCGUCGGUUCCUCGGGGCCGAGGCACGUACGGUGAAUAGGGACGGUCGGGGCCGCCCGUACCGGGUCGUGAGAGGUGAAAUUCUAGGAUCGACCCGAGACGAACCGCCGCGAAAGCAUUCGGCAAGGACGCUUUCAUUAAUCAAGAACGAAAGUCGGGGGAUCGAAGACGAUCAGAUACCGUCGUAGUCCCGACCGUAAACGAUGCCGACCGAGGGCCCCGGAGGAGUUACGUACGACCCUCCGGGCCUCCCGCGAGAAAUCAGGAGUAUUCGGGUUCCGGGGGGAGUAUGGUCGCAAGGCCGAAACUUAAAGGAAUUGACGGAAGGGCACCACCAGGAGUGGAAUCUGCGGCUUAAUUUGACCCAACGCGGGAAAACUCACCAGGUCAGG